GUAGGUGAACCUGCGGAAGGAUCAUUAAAUGAAGCAACCUAGGAGCCUGAGAUAUGGCACUGGGCACACCUUCCACCCUUUGUUUAUCACACUUUGUUGCUUUGGCAGGCCUGCCUCCAGGCUGCUGGCUCCGGCCGGCGAGCGCCUGCCAGAGGACCCAAACUCUGUUUGUCUGUAACGUCUGAGUACUAUAUAAUAGUUAAAACUUUCAACAACGGAUCUCUUGGUUCUG
rnacentral:misc_RNA from 1 species